rnacentral:rRNA from 1 species
UACGUAGGUGGCAAGCGUUGUCCGGAAUUAUUGGGCGUAAAGGGCGCGUAGGCGGCUUGGCAAGUGGAUGGUGAAAUCCCUCGGCUUAACCGAGGAACUGCCAUCCAGACUGCUUUGCUUGAGGCCGGGAGAGGUGAGUGGAAUUCCCAGUGUAGCGGUGAAAUGCGUAGAUAUUGGGAGGAACACCAGUGGCGAAGGCGGCUCACUGGACCGGUUCUGACGCUGAUGCGCGAAAGCGUGGGGAGCAAACGGG